rnacentral:rRNA from 1 species
UACAGAGGGUGCAAGCGUUAAUCGGAAUUACUGGGCGUAAAGCGUGCGUAGUCGGUUAUUUAAGUCGGGUGUGAAAGCCCCGGGCUCAACCUGGGAAUUGCAUUCGAUACUGGAUAGCUAGAGUUCGGCAGAGGGAAGCGGAAUUUCCGGUGUGAGCGGUGAAAUGCGCAGAUAUCAGGAGGAACACCAAUGGCGAAGGCAGCUCGCUGGGACGGUACUGACGCUGAGACGCGAAAGCGUGGGGAGCAAACAGG